GACUGAAGUGAUCAUUGAGUGCAAGAAGCGUAAACUGACGAGUCGACGACAGGCUACUGCGGUGAACACGACAAUGAAGUGGUUGAUCUUGGCUUUCUGCGUCGCCGUGCUGGUCACAGCUGGUGAAGCCCUGCAAUGCAAUUCCUGUGUUUUCUUGUUUGGGCUACCAUGCAUUCCUCACCCUCAAACGUGUGCACCGGGCCAAGUCUGCCGUAAUUACCCACUCAACAUCGGACAGUAUUGCGCGGAUCCGUGACCAUGACAGUUGACUAACCGCCAACUUGAAGUGCUCCAGAAUGGACCUCUUCGACAAUCCUGAAAUAAGAGCAUCAAAGGAUUGGAGGUGUGUUGGUGGUUCAACCUAUUUUCUCUGUAGUUUAGUUGGAAAGCAUUAAAAAACGUUAUAAAAAAAAUAAAUGGAGGAUUUUUUUUUUCUUGCA